rnacentral:rRNA from 1 species
AAUAGAUACCCUGGUAGUCCACGCCGUAAACGAUGGAUGCUAGCUGUUAUGCGUAUCGACCCGUGUAGUAGCGAAGCUAACGCGUUAAGCAUCCCGCCUGGGGAGUACGAACGCAAGUUUAAAACUCAAAGGAAUUGACGGGGACCCGCACAAGCGGUGGAGCGUGUUCUUUAAUUCGAGGCUAAGCGAAGAACCUUACCAGGGCUUGACAUCCUUGGAAUUUCUCCGAAAGGAGAGAGUACUUUAUUGGACCAAGUGACAGGUGCUGCAUGGCCGUCGUCAGCUCGUGUCGUGAGAUGUUUGGUUAAGUCCAUUAACGAGCGCAACCCUUAUGAAUAGUUGUAUUUUUCUAUUCAGACUGCCCCGGUAACGGGGAGGAAGGGGGGAUGAUGUCAGGUCAGUAUUGCCCUUACGCCCUGGGCUAGAAACGCGCUACAAUGGCCGGUACAAUGCGCUGCCAACCCGCGAGGGGGAGCAAAUCGCAUCAAAGCCGGUCCCAGUUCGGAUAAGAGGCUGAAACUCGCCUCUUUGAAGCCGGAAUCGCUAGUAAUCGU